AUUGAACGCUGGCGGCAGGCCUAACACAUGCAAGUCGAGCGGAUGAGGAGAGCUUGCUCUCUGAUUUAGCGGCGGACGGGUGAGUAAUGCCUAGGAAUCUGCCUGGUAGUGGGGGAUAACGUCCGGAAACGGGCGCUAAUACCGCAUACGUCCUACGGGAGAAAGCAGGGGACCUUCGGGCCUUGCGCUGUCAGAUGAGCCUAGGUCGGAUUAGCUAGUUGGUGAGGUAAUGGCUCACCAAGGCUACGAUCCGUAACUGGUCUGAGAGGAUGAUCAGUCACACUGGAACUGAGACACGGUCCAGACUCCUACGGGAGGCAGCAGUGGGGAAUAUUGGACAAUGGGCGAAAGCCUGAUCCAGCCAUGCCGCGUGUGUGAAGAAGGUCUUCGGAUUGUAAAGCACUUUAAGUUGGGAGGAAGGGCAGUAAGUUAAUACCUUGCUGUUUUGACGUUACCGACAGAAUAAGCACCGGCUAACUUCGUGCCAGCAGCCGCAGUAAAAC
rnacentral:rRNA from 1 species